UACGAAGGGGGCUAGCGUUGCUCGGAAUCACUGGGCGUAAAGCGCACGUAGGCGGCUUUCUAAGUCAGGGGUGAAAUCCUGGAGCUCAACUCCAGAACUGCCUUUGAUACUGGAGAGCUUGAGUCCGGGAGAGGUGAGUGGAACUCCGAGUGUAGAGGUGAAAUUCGUAGAUAUUCGGAGGAACACCAGAGGCGAAGGCGGCUACCUGGACAAUUGCUGACGCUCAGGCACGAAAGCGUGGGGAGCAAAAGGG
rnacentral:rRNA from 1 species